AUACGUAGGGUGCGAGCGUUGUCCGGAAUUACUGGGCGUAAAGAGCUCGUAGGUGGUUUGUCGCGUCGUCUGUGAAAUUCCGGGGCUUAACUCCGGGCGUGCAGGCGAUACGGGCAUAACUUGAGUACUGUAGGGGAGACUGGAAUUCCUGGUGUAGCGGUGAAAUGCGCAGAUAUCAGGAGGAACACCGGUGGCGAAGGCGGGUCUCUGGGCAGUAACUGACGCUGAGGAGCGAAAGCUUUGGUAGCGAACAGGAUUAGAUCCCCUGGUAGUCCAUGCCGUAAACGGUGGGCGCUAGGUGUAGGGGUCUUCCACGACUUCUGUGCCGUAGCUAACGCAUUAAGCGCCCCGCCUGGGGCGUACGGCCGCAAGGCUAAAACUCAAAUGAAUUGACGGGG
rnacentral:rRNA from 1 species